rnacentral:misc_RNA from 1 species
GAUGAAGAACGCAGCGAAAUGCGAUAAGUAAUGCGAAUUGCAGAAUUUCCGUGAGUCAUCGAAUCUUUGAACGCACAUUGCGCCCCCUGGUAUUCCGGGGGGCAUGCCUGUCCGAGCGUCAUUGCAACCUUCAAGCGCGGCUUGUGUGUUGGGUCUCGUCCCCCGUGGACGGGCCCGAAAGGCAGUGGCGGCGUCCCGACAUGGUGCCCGAGCGUAUGGGAAUCCUCUUCCGCUCGAAUCGGCCCAUGCGGCGCUGGUCGUAACCAAAUUUUUUACCGGUUGACCUCGGAUCAGGUAGGGAUACCCGCUGAACUUAAGCAUAUCAAUAAGCGGAGGA